CAUCAGGUGACUGAAAGCAAGUAAUGGUCUCUUAAACCAAAAAAUAGUAAAUUAGCAAUUACUUCUGAUGA
rnacentral:tRNA from 1 species